rnacentral:rRNA from 1 species
AGUCGAACGCUUCUUUUCUACCGAGUGCUUGCACUCACUUGAAAAGAGGAGAGGCGGACGGGUGAGUAACACGUGGGUAACCUGCCCAUCAGAGGGGGAUAACACUUGGAAACAGGUGCUAAUACCGCAUAAUAGUCGACACCGCAUGGUGUUGAUUUGAAAGACGCUUUCGGGUGUCACUGAUGGAUGGACCCGCGGUGCAUUAGCUAGUUGGUGAGGUAACGGCUCACCAAGGCGAUGAUGCAUGGCCGACCUGAGAGGGUGAUCGGCCACACUGGGACUGAGACACGGCCCAGACUCCUACGGGAGGCAGCAGUAGGGAAUCUUCGGCAAUGGACGAAAGUCUGACCGAGCAACGCCGCGUGAGUGAAGAAGGUUUUCGGAUCGUAAAACUCUGUUGUUAGAGAAGAACAAGUAGGAGAGUAACUGCUCUUACCUUGACGGUAUCUAACCAGAAAGCCACGGCUAACUACGUGCCAGCAGCCGCCGUAAUACGUAGGUGGCAAGCGUUGUCCGGAUUUAUUGGGCGUAAAGCGAGCGCAGGCGGUUUCUUAGGUCUGAUGUGAAAGCCCCCGGCUCAACCGGAAAGGGGUCAUUGGAAACUGGGAGACUUGAGUGCGAAAGAGGAGAGUGGAAUUCCAUGUGUACCCGUGA